rnacentral:rRNA from 1 species
AAAGAUUAAGCCAUGCAUGUCUAAGUAUAAGCAAUUUGUACUGUGAAACUGCGAAUGGCUCAUUAAAUCAGUUAUCGUUUAUUUGAUAGUACCUUACUACAUGGAUACCUGUGGUAAUUCUAGAGCUAAUACAUGCUAAAAACCCCGACUUCGGAAGGGGUGUAUUUAUUAGAUAAAAAACCAAUGCCCUUCGGGGCUCCUUGGUGAAUCAUAAUAACUUAGCGAAUCGCAUGGCCUUGCGCCGGCGAUGGUUCAUUCAAAUUUCUGCCCUAUCAACUUUCGAUGGUAGGAUAGUGGCCUACCAUGGUGGCAACGGGUAACGGGGAAU